GAUCGCUCCGAMGUGGGCGGUUCGCCGCCCGCGACGUGGCGAGAAGUCCACUGAACCUUAUCAUUUAGAGGAAGGAGAAGUCGUAACAAGGUUUCCGUAGGUGAACCUGCGGAAGGAUCAUUGUCGAAACCUGCAAAGCAGACCCGUGAACAUGAUUAAAUACGCUUGCGGCUGCGAUGUCGGAUGCUUUGGCGUCCCACAUCACGACCUCGACCCCAGGUGGCGCAAGUCGCUCGGGGCAUACUAACAACCUCUCGGCGCGGCAAGCGCCAAGGAAAACGAUGUCGAAUGCCUCUCCGUCUCUGUGCCGUGCGCGGUACGCAGGACGUGACGAGGAACACUAUCGAAUAGAUACCAACGACUCUCGGCAACGGAUAUCUCGGCUCUCGCAUCGAUGAAGAACGUAGCGAAAUGCGAUACUUGGUGUGAAUUGCAGAAUCCCGUGAACCAUCGAGUCUUUGAACGCAAGUUGCGCCCGAAGCCAUCAGGUUGAGGGCACGUCUGCCUGGGCGUCACGCAUCUCGUCGCCCCCUCCCCACGUCCUCUUGCCCACUCAGAGUGCAUGAGAAGGAGGGGCGGAUAUUGGCCUCCCGUUAUCCUUGUGUAGCGGCCGGCCCAAAUAUAACAUACCGUGUCGAUGGAUGUCACACGAUGCGUGGUGGUUGAAUUCGUCAACUUGCGAACUAUCUACAUCGUGUGGGAAUGCGUCGAGCGACGGGCAUAUGACCCAACGGCAGCAGAUUGCCCUCGAUUGCGACCCCAGGUCAGGCGGGAUCACCCGCUGAGUUUAAGCAUAUCAAUAAGCGGAGGAAAAGAAACUUACAARGAUUCCCUUA
rnacentral:rRNA from 1 species